rnacentral:rRNA from 1 species
AUUAACCUCGGAUCAGGCAGGGAUACCCGCUGAACUUAAGCAUAUCAAUAAGCGGAGG